rnacentral:rRNA from 1 species
AAGACAAUGGUGCAUGCCGAGUUGAAGGAUUGUUGGCCACCUUGGGGAUGGGACCCGGCCCCAAUUUCUUGCGGGAGGUGCCGUAGGGAUUCUUCCACAAUGGGCGAAAGCCUGAUGGAGCAACGCCGCGUGUGUGAUGAAGGCUUUCGGGUCGUAAAGCACUGUUGUAUGGGAAGAACAGCUAGAAUAGGAAAUGAUUUUAGUUUGACGGUACCAUACCAGAAAGGGACGGCUAAAUACGUGCCAGCAGCCGCGGUAAUACGUAUGUCCCGAGCGUUAUCCGGAUUUAUUGGGCGUAAAGCGAGCGCAGACGGUUUAUUAAGUCUGAUGUGAAAGCCCGGAGCUCAACUCCGGAAUGGCAUUGGAAACUGGUUAACUUGAGUGCAGUAGAGGUAAGUGGAACUCCAUGUGUAGCGGUGGAAUGCGUAGAUAUAUGGAAGAACACCAGUGGCGAAGGCGGCUUACUGGACUGCAACUGACGUUGAGGCUCGAAAGUGUGGGUAGCAAACAGGAUUAGAUACCCUGGUAGUCCACACCGUAAACGAUGAACACUAGGUGUUAGGAGGUUUCCGCCUCUUAGUGCCGAAGCUAACGCAUUAAGUGUUCCGCCUGGGGAGUACGACCGCAAGGUUGAAACUCAAAGGAAUUGACGGGGACCCGCACAAGCGGUGGAGCAUGUGGUUUAAUUCGAAGCAACGCGAAGAACCUUACCAGGUCUUGACAUCCUUUGAAGCUUUUAGAGAUAGAAGUGUUCUCUUCGGAGACAAAGUGACAGGUGGUGCAUGGUCGUCGUCAGCUCGUGUCGUGAGAUGUUGGGUUAAGUCCCGCAACGAGCGCAACCCUUAUUGUUAGUUGCCAGCAUUCAGAUGGGCACUCUAGCGAGACUGCCGGUGACAAACCGGAGGAAGGCGGGGACGACGUCAGAUCAUCAUGCCCCUUAUGACCUGGGCUACACACGUGCUACAAUGGCGUAUACAACGAGUUGCCAACCCGCGAGGGUGAGCUAAUCUCUUAAAGUACGUCUCAGUUCGGAUUGUAGUCUGCAACUCGACUACAUGAAGUCGGAAUCGCUAGUAAUCGCGGAUCAGCACGCCGCGG